rnacentral:rRNA from 1 species
UGCGUAGGCGGACUAAUAAGUCAGUGGUGAAAUCUUUCGGCUCAACCGAGAAACUGCCAUUGAUACUGUUAGUCUUGAGUUCGGUUGAGGUAGGCGGAAUGUGUAAUGUAGCGGUGAAAUGCUUAGAUAUUACACAGAACACCAAUUGCGUAGGCAGCUUACUAGACCGACACUGACGCUGAGGCACGAAAGCGUGGGGAGCGAACAGGAUUAGAUACCCUGGUAGUCCA